rnacentral:rRNA from 1 species
GAUGAACGCUGGCGGCGUGCCUAAUACAUGCAAGUCGAGCGAACAGACGAGGAGCUUGCUCCUCUGACGUUAGCGGCGGACGGGUGAGUAACACGUGGAUAACCUACCUAUAAGACUGGGAUAACUUCGGGAAACCGGAGCUAAUACCGGAUAAUAUAUUGAACCGCAUGGUUCAAUAGUGAAAGACGGUUUUGCUGUCACUUAUAGAUGGAUCCGCGCCGCAUUAGCUAGUUGGUAAGGUAACGGCUUACCAAGGCAACGAUGCGUAGCCGACCUGAGAGGGUGAUCGGCCACACUGGAACUGGAACACGGUCCAGACGCCUACGGGAGGCAGCAGUAGGGAAUCUUCCGCAAUGGGCGAAAGCCUGACGGAGCAACGCCGCGUGAGUGAUGAAGGUCUUCGGAUCGUAAAACUCUGUUAUUAGGGAAGAACAAAUGUGUAAGUAACUAUGCACGUCUUGACGGUACCUAAUCAGAAAGCCACGGCUAACUACGUG